UGUCAUAGAGGCAACAUAAACCCCAAAGGAUUUGUUGAGACUUUAUGAAAUAACAACAUCCAACCAAGAAACUCAAGGCUCUUUACAAGUAUUCCUGAAUUAAGCUGAUGAGGAGAUCCUCACAUACUGUGGAAAAAUACAAGAGUGUCAAUAAUGGAUCUGAACAUGAUCUGCCAGCAAGCUGGAUGAAUUGUGUGAUUGUCACAUCCACUGAAUGUUCUGGAGCAUCCCUGACAAGGCUUCCUUAUGCCAUGCUCGUGAAGUAGUGAUAUUCUGCUAUUGCAUUUCACAGGAGAAGGCACAGAGACAAUCAGUAGGUCUCCCGACAUGGCAAGAAAUUGGAGUCAAGUGUCCCAAACUAGAGGCAGUGCUCUAUUACUUCAAUCGUAGGUGUUGUAAUAUGAAAUUCUGCUCAACUUCCAAGCAAGCAAAUCUCCAUCCUGCAAAGUGCAGAGAAGAGCCUGAAGUGCUAGGACACCCCACUGACUGCAGAACAGGGAAAACACUGACAAAUCCUUGA
rnacentral:lncRNA from 1 species